rnacentral:lncRNA from 10 species
GGGGAAGCGUCGCCGAAGUCCUCUGGCCACACCCCGGGGUGCCUGGCUGACGCGUCCCUCAGCUCAAACGAGAAAGGCAACUUCAGGCGGGGCGGGAGCGUGGACGAUGGGAAAUUUGGGAACCCAGAGGUCAAGAUUCUACUGAAAGUUAAAUAAUUUCCCUUGGUACCUGCCUCUUUGGAAGGCACCUCCGGUCACAUCAGGAGCAUGGAUGGGGCCCCACCUGCAUACACAUGGAGAUGGACUCAUCCUCCAGCUACUUUGGAUACCGUGGCUCCCAUUUUUCUACUUUCUCUGAAGGAUUGAAGCCACCUUGCCCAGAAGUCACUGGGAGUUAUGCCUCCUCCCUAAGGAUGGCCCACAGCCAGUGCCUCAUUGGAGCAAGAGGUACAGAAGCCCUGCUCCCUCAUCUGAAGAUGGGGCAGGCUCCGCAGUGCAAUCCAUGCACCCGAGCUCCCAUGGCAUCAGACUGACAUUGCUGGAAGCCACAGUCUUCCUCAGCUUCUCCUUCCCUGUCCUGCUUCCCUCACUCCCUUAUGGUUUUCUCCUGAGGGCACUCCCUUAAUAAAUCACUUGCGUCAAGAAUCCACAUCAUGGGCUCUGCUUCUAGGGAAACUGGCAGUUCACAAUCUUAGAAUAUAUUAUAUAUUUAGUUCCUCUUUGGGGGUAAUAACUUUACCUGCCUGAGGGCAGAAGUAUUUAUAUUUCCUCUAAUAUUUAGCACAGGGCUUUGCACAUGAUAGGGGUUUGUUAACUUCUAGGAAUAAAGUAAUUUGAAUAAACUUGAGCUGAUCUUUAAAAAUAGGCAAAAACCAAACAUCAUACCUUAUCAGCCUGGUUAAAUAGGAGGAUUGGCCGGGUGCAGUGGCUCACGCCUAUAAUCUCAGCACUUUGGGAGGCC